rnacentral:rRNA from 1 species
GACGAACGCUGGCGGCGUGCUUAACACAUGCAAGUCGAACGGUGAUGCUCCAGCUUGCUGGAGUGGAUCAGUGGCGAACGGGUGAGUAACACGUGAGCAACCUGCCCCAGACUCUGGAAUAAGCGCUGGAAACGGCGUCUAAUACUGGAUACGAAACUGGCCCGCAUGGGCAUGGUUUGGAAAGUUUUUCGGUUUGGGAUGGGCUCGCGGCCUAUCAGCUUGUUGGUGAGGUAAUGGCUCACCAAGGCGACGACGGGUAGCCGGCCUGAGAGGGCGACCGGCCACACUGGGACUGAGACACGGCCCAGACUCCUACGGGAGGCAGCAGUGGGGAAUAUUGCACAAUGGGCGAAAGCCUGAUGCAGCGACGCCGCGUGAGGGAUGACGGCCUUCGGGUUGUAAACCUCUUUCAGCAGGGAAGAAGCGAAAGUGACGGUACCGGCAGAAGAAGCACCGGCUAACUACGUG